rnacentral:SRP_RNA from 1 species
ACUUUGCUGCAACCACCUGUGCCAUUGAGGAGGUGCAAAGGGAACAGGCCAAGGCUGGCAAACGGAGGGGAGGCAGCAUGGGCACCAUGUCGGAGGAUUU